AUUGAACGCUGGCGGCAUGCUUUACACAUGCAAGUCGAACGGCAGCGCGGGCUUCGGCCUGGCGGCGAGUGGCGAACGGGUGAGUAAUACAUCGGAACGUGCCCAGUAGUGGGGGAUAGCUCGGUGAAAGCCGGAUUAAUACCGCAUACGACCUGAGGGUGAAAGUGGGGGAUCUUCGGACCUCGCGCUAUUGGAGCGGCCGAUGGCAGAUUAGCUAGUUGGUGGGGUAAAGGCCUACCAAGGCGACGAUCUGUAGCUGGUCUGAGAGGACGACCAGCCACACUGGGACUGAGACACGGCCCAGACUCCUACGGGAGGCAGCAGUGGGGAAUUUUGGACAAUGGGCGAAAGCCUGAUCCAGCAAUGCCGCGUGUGUGAUGAAGGCCUUCGGGUUGUAAAGCACUUUUGGCGGGAACGAAAAGGACUGUGCCAAUACCACGGUUCGAUGACGGUACCCGCAGAAUAAGCACCGGCUAACUACGUG
rnacentral:rRNA from 1 species